GUAAAUCCACACCUUACAUUAGGUAAAUGAACAUACGUUACUACCUGUGCAGAUAUUUAACCUUUGAUCUGUGAGCUGUCUGCUUAGGAACAAAAGGAAAGGCAGCUUCUUGCAUGACUCAGCUUUCAGCUUAAGCAGAGUGAACUGGGGUCCCAAGUUUUUACUUCCUUUUCACUAGACACACACACACACAGUAUGUUUACAUAAACCCACACGUGUAUAUGUGUGUGGAAAGAUGUGCGUUUGUGUGCACGCACAUGUGUGUAAAGGCAACAUGCAGGCCAGAUAAAGCACAUCUGCAAGGUAGAUUUGUCCUUCAGGUAAUUAAUUUGGUCCGUUUUAAACUGUUUCUUUUUCAUCACUCUCUUAUCUGUAGUGACUGGCACUGUGCUCUAUGCCUCCAUCAAAUGUUAUCUGAAAUCACUGCCAAUGGAAAUGAAAAGGUUCUGCCAAUACAUCAUGUGUUUCGCUGUGCUGCCUCCUCUUUCUCAUGUGACCAACACAUCUGAACCUGACUUCUGUCCCAGCCAGGGCUCUCCUAGAGAGUGGCUAUCUUGGAUUAUGGCCAUUCUCAAAAGAGAGACCUCAAGACCAAAUUAGAAGAAAACCCAACAUCAUGUAAGUCCACACAUUUCAGCUGCCGCCUUUGCCAGGGUCCUUUGGAUCUUGACCUGGCCUCUGGAUCUAGUUUCUGAGGCUUAAACCUCCUCUUGGGUUCCCUAGGGGUCCCAUGGUGGUAUGCCCGACAUCAACUCUUCUUGACCGCUAAGUGUGUUGCUAUUGCUGGCAACUGAAACUAGCCAGUGGCUUCUUCUGGAGUCAGUUCAGCAGCUUUCCUUCUACUAUGGACUACACUAGUGUUAUCCAAACUGUCAGUUCAACUGGGGUAAGAAGCUUGCACCAGAAUGUGAAUCAACACGCUGCUUCCUUCAUCAAGAAAGUUUUGUUGCAAAUUUCAGCUGAGUCAAAAUGUGUAUUUAGUGAUGUAAUAAUAGAUUUACAUUCCCUUGCAAGUUCUUUGUCUCAUUAACAGUAACCACCACUGUGAGGACUGACAGCUGAUCCACAGAUCUCAUAUAAAGUAGCACUGGUUGUUAGCCAACUUCCAGCUAUCCUUUCUCCCACCUCCACCCUUCCUGGCCUCUCAUAAUCACUACCCUGAACUCUGCUUCUCUGAGAUCAACUUUUUUAGCUUCCACAUUUAGGUGACAUUCUGAGUAUUUGCCUUUGUGCAACUGGCCUAUUUCACUUAACAUAGUGUCUUCCAAACUUACCCAUGUUGCUACAAAUGACAGCCUUCUUUUUUGAAUUUAAUUUUUAAAAUUUUACUUUAAGUUCUAGAGUACAUGUCCAGAUCUUGCAGGACUGUUACAUAGGUACACAUGCCAUGGUGGUUUGCUGCCUCCAACCGCCCAUCGCCUACAUUCAGUAUUUCUCCUAAUGUUAUCCCUCCCCAAUCUCCCCACCCACUGCUAUCCCUCCCCUAGCCCCCAACAGACCCCAGUGUGU
rnacentral:lncRNA from 13 species